CGACCGUUUAAAUAUGGUGACACAGUCAAGAGUGUAUAUAGCUGGAUUAUACAACAAAUGGAUCCAGAAAUUCUUCCCCCGGUGUUCCAUUUAGAGUGCUCAUCCCCAACCAGUUGCCAGAACAAAGGAUGCCCCCAUAUAUAUGAAUUGGGCAACAGCUAUAAAGUUAAGGUAGAGGAGUUGCCGGAUGUCUUAUACCUUCGUGAAGGGUGUUUUGCUGUAAAUGAUACCUUUACUGGUCUUGGGGAUGUCCUGAUUUAGCCAGUCAGCAGCUUUCAGGAAUUUUGUGGCGGCCUUCUUUGCUUUACUUUUUGUAAUCAUUAGUUUUUUAGUAUUGUAACUGGAGUUUUUUUCGGGGGCGGUAAUGUGGCCACUCCAAUUACACUACAUUUAUAUAAUAUGAAAUACUGAAAUACUUUUUGUAUUUGUUAGUUUUUUUAGUAUUGUAACUGGAGUUUUAUCGGGGGUGGUAAUGUGGCCGCUCCAAUUACACUACAUUUAUAUAUAUGUAAUACUGAAAUACUUUUUGUAUUCGUGAGUUUUUUUAGUAUUGUAACUGGAUUUUUUUCGGGGGCGGUAAUGUGGCCACUCCAAUUACACUACAUUUAUAUAUAUGUAAAACAUUUAUAUAUAUGUAAUACUGAAAUACUUUUUGUAUUCGUUAGUUUUUUUAGUAUUGUAACUGGAGUUUUAUCGGGGGCGGUAAUGUGGCCACUCCAAUUACACUACAUUUAUAUAAUAUGAAAUACUGAAAUACUUUUUGUAUUCGUUAGUUUUUUUAGUAUUGUAACUGGAGUUUUA